GACGAACGCUGGCGGCGUGCUUAACACAUGCAAGUCGAACGAAGUGGCGAACGGGUGAGUAACGCGUAAUCAACCUGCCCUUCAGUGGGGGACAACAGUUGGAAACGACUGCUCAUACCGCAUACUCAAGUAGGGGAUUUCGUCGGAUUAGCUAGUUGGAGGGGUAACGGCCCACCAAGGCGAGGACCAGUAGCCGGUCUGAGAGGAUGAACAGCCACAUUGGGACUGAGACACGGUCCAGACUCCUACGGGAGGCAGCAGUGGGGAAUAUUGGACAAUGGGCGAAAGCCUGAUCCAGCCAUGCCGCGUGUGUGAAGAAGGUCUUCGGAUUGUAAAGCACUUUAAGUUGGGAGGCGUUACCAACAGAAUAAGCACCGGCUAACUUCGUGCCAGCAGCCGCGGUAAUUC
rnacentral:rRNA from 1 species